rnacentral:rRNA from 1 species
GACGAACGCUGGCGGCGUGCUUAACACAUGCAAGUCGAACGGUGAAGCGCCUUCCUUUUUGGUGGGUGUGGAUGAGUGGCGAACGGGUGAGUAACACGUGAGUAACCUGCCCCCUUCUUCUGGAUAACCGCAUGAAAGUGUGGCUAAUACGGGAUAUUCUGGGUCUGUCGCAUGAUGGGUCUGGGAAAGAUAUUGUUUCGGUGGGGGAUGGGCUCGCGGCCUAUCAGCGUGUUGGUGGGGUGAUGGCCUACCAAGGCGGUGACGGGUAGCCGGCCUGAGAGGGUGGACGGUCACACUGGGACUGAGGCACGGCCCGGACUCCGACGGGAGGCAGCAGUGGGGAAUAUUGCACAGUGGGGGCAAGCCUGAUGCAGCGACGCCGCGUGAGGGAUGGAGGCCUGCGGGUUGUGAACCUCUUUCGCCAGUGAAGCAGGCCUGCCUCGUUUGUGGGUGGGUUGACGGUAGCUGGAUAAGAAGCGCCGGCUAACUACGUG